AAAAUAUAAAAAAAAUAAAAAAUGGUUUUUAAAUUUUAAAUGGUGAGCCGUAGGGCCCACUCCUGAAUUGUUGUCCCCAAGUCUCCUAUCUCUCCCUCUCAGUUCUCUUUUCCUCUUAUAUUUCCCUGUACCUUUUCUUUCCUUUCUCUCCGGCGCCGAGAAAGAAACCAGACACCACCAGUGCCCUUUCCUUCACAAAUCAAACCCCAAAAUCAUAUAUUUGGAAUCCUUGAGACUUAACGAGCUCAAUGGUACCCUUGCAUGCGCCAUCAGAGCAUCGUGGAGUUUUCUGCCAUUGAAGCCGAGAGCUUCAAAGCUCUAAAACUCGAACCCAGCUCCGACGACGAACUCCGACGAGUUCGAGGUCCAUCUCUUCCCAAAACCUGCUGCAGUGCAUCUGGGUGAAGUUGCUAGUGAAGACUUCCUUAAUCUUUUUCCGCACAAUUCUGCUGCUUCGGAGUAUCUGUGAGUGGACCACCUUCAAAAAUUGCAUGUUUUAUUGAUAGAAUUGUAUAAUUUAAUAGCAUGCCUUGCAGAUUGAUUGAUUUGAGGAAUGCUUUACAGGAAGCAUGAUGAUUUGAUUAUACGUGAUUAUAUAUAUGUUUUCAAUUAUUUUCAUUAUAUCGUAUUUUCUAUAGAACCCUCAUUCUGGUAGACUAUCUAAUCGAUGACGAUAGGAUGCUAAGAAUGUUGUUUCAAAUGAUUUUUGAACACCUCUUCGUAAUAUAGAGGAUCGAUGAAUUUAUGCUACGAAGUUGUAUUUUAGAGAUGAAUUAUGUUUUGUGCGUAUCUAGUGAACACUAUGCCGCCUGGGGCGAGGAUCUGGUGUUGGCAUUGCGGCCGGGAGAAAUAAUCCCUAGCGAAAGGCUGAGGGACACGGAGACAGGCAUUGAGUCGGGAGGGAGAUAUCUCUGGCUACGGGCACAGAGACUGAGGUGCAGGCAUUGGGCUGGGAGUAUUGUUAUUCAGUGCACUCACUAGCAGCACAACUUGUGUUAUGCUUCCUGAUAUGAUUUCUGAUAUGAUUUUCUGAGAUUGAUUUGCAGAGAGAUAUAUGAAUUAUUUUUAUGGCAUGCUAGAGGUUUUGAGAAACCUAUCACUUAUUAUUUAGUAGUUUUCAUUAUCUUAACUGUGGGGGUUAGUAUGUUUAUAAUUGUUUUUGUAUUAUGUAUGUAUAUAAACUUGGUCCACUCACCUUUUUUUUGCGCCUCCAUUCAGGUCUUAGGGACGAGGACUACAACGCAAUAUACGAGGCAUUCCCCUACCAGUAGCUGCGUCUAUUUUCUUUGUGUGAAAUCUGUAAUAGUCUUUCUUUUUGAAAUCUCGAAUUAGAACAUGCUCUGUGCACUCUAGUCACUUUCUUAAGCACUGUUUAUUUCCUUUAGACCUUCUGAGAAUUAUAUUUAUACUUUCUCCUAAUCUUUACUCUUGUAUUCAAUAAAUAGCUUUCGUCACCUCGAGUGUCAGCCAGCACGUACCUAUCCUGAUGUUCGGGGAAUAUCGGGUCGGGGCGUGUUACAU